rnacentral:rRNA from 1 species
ACGCGUGGGUAACCUGCCUCAUACAGGGGGAUAACAGUUAGAAAUGACUGCUACUACCGCAUAAGCGCACAGUGUCGCAUGACACGGUGUGAAAAACUCCGGUGGUAUGAGAUGGACCCGCGUCUGAUUAGCUGGUUGGCGGGGUAACGGCCCACCAAGGCGACGAUCAGUAGCCGACCUGAGAGGGUGAUCGGCCACAUUGGGACUGAGACACGGCCCAAACUCCUACGGGAGGCAGCAGUGGGGAAUAUUGCACAAUGGGGGAAACCCUGAUGCAGCGACGCCGCGUGAAGGACGACGUAUUUCGGUAUGUAAACUUCUAUCAGCAAGGAAGAUGAUGACGGUACUUGACUAAGAAGCCCCGGCUAACUACGUGCCAGCAGCCGCGGUAAUACGUAGGGGGCAAGCGUUAUCCGGAUUUACUGGGUGUAAAGGGAGCGUAGGCGGCCAUGCAAGUCAGAAGUGAAAGCCCGGGGCUCAACCCCGGGACUGCUUUUGAAACUGUAAGGCUAGAUUGCCGGAGAGGUAAGCGGAAUUCCUAGUGUAGCGGUGAAAUGCGUAGAUAUUAGGAGGAACACCAGUGGCGAAGGCG